rnacentral:rRNA from 1 species
UACGUAGGGGGCGAGCGUUGUCCGGAUUUAUUGGGCGUAAAGCGCGGGCAGGCGGCCCGGUAAGUCGGCCGUGAAAGCGCCGGGCUCAACUCGGCGAGGACGGGCGAGACUGCAAGGCUGGAGCAAGGCAGAGGGCGGUGGAAUUCCGGGUGUAGUGGUGGAAUGCGUAGAGCUCCGGAGGAACACCAGUGGCGAAGGCG